UACGUAGGGUGCAAGCGUUAAUCGGAAUUACUGGGCGUAAAGCGUGCGCAGGCGGCUUUGCAAGACAGAUGUGAAAUCCCCGGGCUUAACCUGGGAACUGCAUUUGUGACUGCAUGGCUAGAGUGCGGCAGAGGGGGAUGGAAUUCCGCGUGUAGCAGUGAAAUGCGUAGAUAUGCGGAGGAACACCGAUGGCGAAGGCAAUCCCCUGGGCCUGUACUGACGCUCAUGCACGAAAGCGUGGGGAGCAAACAGG
rnacentral:rRNA from 1 species